GUGAGCUGGCUAAAGAUGGUAAAUGUGAAUAGUUAAUCAUAAUAAAUUGUAUAUUACAUUUCAAUAAUUUUGUUUAGCUCUAAUUCGAAGAUUACAAGCUUAGUUACUUGAGCAAAACCGGCUGUUAGAAGCCGGAAGGGGUACUUUUCAAACUGUUGAAUCUAAAAAUGGUACUUUUUUAAGUGUAACAGAUGUCUUGCCAAGAUUUUCAUCAGUGACUGAACGGGUUGGCCACGAGCUUCUUAAAAUACAAAAAUGGAACAGUGGUGUGGCAGAACGAGCCAAAAAAAAGUAAGGAUAGUCUACAUAAGCUGACUGAACAUUAUUUCUGCUGCUUGAAAGAAAUAUGGCAUCCCAAAGACAAAUGCCCAGACGAAGAACAACUUGAAGAACUGUCAAGCCUCUCCUAGGGCAUUAGGAACAUCAAAUACUACCGAGACUAGGGCAGUGCUGAGUUGUGCAGUGAAAUAGAGAAGCCUGGCAACCUGUGGAGGAUACUAUGAAAAGCAUGAAAAGUGGAAAAGUUUUGAAGCAUGUGAUGAGCAGCGUGCCGAUGAAAAAUCACUUAAAGGAAUAUUUCCAAAAAUUGUGUACAUCAUUCCAAUGCAAAACGGGAUUGUUGGAACGCCUGAUCCUAAUUUUCAAGUAACGACAGUUACAUGCAGGGAUUGUAAUAGGAAUAUUGCAAGAGAAAGGAUGUUCACUCAAAGGGAAAACGAAUUUUAAUGUAUUUUAAUACAGAAUUAAUAAACAUCUCAUCAUUUUGUCUAUUUUUAGUUUUGAGGAAAUGCCAUUGGAUGGGGUGUUGUAGUCUCGACUGUCUAAGUGACUGAGUGUGUCUGUGUAUUUGUAUUACUUAGUCUGGGAUGGCUGGUCUCUAAAUGGGGUUGGAGGAUGAGUGGCCAUUUAGCGGUAGAUAUUACAACAUGGGGUAAACAAAUACGGAUGUAGAUUGUCUUCUGAUCUUUCUCCUGCGGUCGUUAAUGAAGAAAGUCCAUCUCCCUCAACGAGCACCGUUUGCAACGAUUCAAGUCAUUCUCCAACGCAAAUCACAAGAAAGAAUGAUUACAGUCAGAGUCGUUCUACGAUGUUCCAUCUUUCCAUGCAAGGAGAAAGGAGCCCAUCUGGCAACGAUUCGAUUGUUUCUCCAACGCGAAUGAGAAGACAAGAUAUAGCUACCGUUCCAGUCGUUCUCCAUAAAAAAGCAUUGAAUCCAAAAAUAAAAAAAAGACGUCGUUUGUCAAGGAGUCCAUCUAGCAACGAUUUGAUUCGUUCGCAAACGCAAAUGAGAUAACAGGAUAGCUGCUGUUAGGGCGCACCUUCCAAUAAGCCCAUCUGCUACCUUCUCCCCUUGAUUAUUAAAUACACGGAGAGUUGGGUUUCAACACUCUGUAUUUCACACGUCACUUGACUUGUAUAUGU